UACGUAGGGUGCGAGCGUUGUCCGGAAUUAUUGGGCGUAAAGAGCUUGUAGGCGGUUUGUCGCGUCUGCUGUGAAAUUUCGGGGCUCAACCCCGAACUUGCAGUGGGUACGGGCAGACUAGAGUGUGGUAGGGGAGACUGGAAUUCCUGGUGUAGCGGUGGAAUGCGCAGAUAUCAGGAGGAACACCGAUGGCGAAGGCAGGUCUCUGGGCCAUUACUGACACUGAGAAGCGAAAGCAUGGGGAGCGAACAGG
rnacentral:rRNA from 1 species